CCUGAGGCUGCCAUGGGCUCCAGGCUCCUCUGCUGGGUGGCCCUUGGUCUCCUGGGAGCAGGCCCUGCGGAUGCUGAGGUCACUCAGAGCCCCAGACACCUGGUCACAGCAAGGGGUCAGCCAGUGACCCUGAGAUGCAACUAUGAAUCUGGGCACUUGUCUGUGUUCUGGUACCAACAGGCCCUGGGCCAGGGCCCCAAGUUCCUCAUUCAGUAUUACAGUGGGGAAGAGAGAGAGAAAGGAGACAUCCCUGCGCGCUUCUCAGUCCAACAGUUCAAGGACAGCUCCAGCUCUGAGCUGAGCGUGAGCUCCGUGGAAGGGGCCGACUCUGCCCUGUACCUCUGUGCCAGCAGCCUCACAGCCCUGCCUGCUCGGCUGCCUCCUGCACAAAAACAGCCCAGGCCAGCCCAGGAAGUGGCAGCGAGGGGAGGCUGCCAGGUGGCCAGGCCCAGCGUUUUGGCAUCCCAGUCCCCCAGUUCAGUGUCCAGAUUAGAUGAGGGGAAGUGGGGUUCCAGGUCUGACAAUGUCAUCUUUGACUUUAAAACAGAAGAUUUCUUGCCAAAGAUCAAAGGAACAUCUUCUCUGUAA